rnacentral:rRNA from 1 species
GAUGAACGCUGGCGGCGUGCCUAAUACAUGCAAGUCGAGCGAACAGAUGAGGAGCUUGCUCCUCUGACGUUAGCGGCGGACGGGUGAGUAACACGUGGAUAACCUACCUAUAAGACUGGGAUAACUUCGGGAAACCGGAGCUAAUACCGGAUAAUAUAUUGAACCGCAUGGUUCAAUAGUGAAAGACGGUUUUGCUGUCACUUAUAGAUGGAUCCGCGCCGCAUUAGCUAGUUGGUAAGGUAACGGCUUACCAAGGCAACGAUGCGUAGCCGACCUGAGAGGAUGAUCGGCCACACUGGAACUGAGACACGGUCCAGACUCCUACGGGAGGCAGCAGUGGGGAAUCUUCGGCAAUGGGCGAAAGCCUGACGGAGCAACGCCGCGUGAGUGAUGAAGGUCUUCGGAUCGUAAAGCUCUGUAAGUAGGGAAGAAGAGAUGUGUAAGUAACUAUGCCCGUCUUGACGGUACCUACUGAGAAAGCAACGGCUAACUACGUG